rnacentral:rRNA from 1 species
ACGCUGGCGGCAGGCCUAACACAUGCAAGUCGGGCGGUAACAGGGAUAUGCUUGCUAUCUGCUGACGAGCGGCGGACGGGUGAGUAAUGCAUAGGAAUCUGCCUGGUAGUGGGGGAUAGCCCAGAGAAAUUUGGAUUAAUACCGCAUACGCCCUACGGGGGAAAGCAGGGGACCCAUUCUUUUAGGAGAGUGGACCUUGCGCUAUCAGAUGAGCCUAUGUCGGAUUAGCUUGUUGGUGAGGUAACGGCUCACCAAGGCGACGAUCCGUAGCUGGUCUGAGAGGAUGAUCAGCCACACUGGGACUGAGACACGGCCCAGACUCCUACGGGAGGCAGCAGUGGGGAAUAUUGGACAAUGGGCGCAAGCCUGAUCCAGCCAUGCCGCGUGUGUGAAGAAGGCCUUCGGGUUGUAAAGCACUUUCAGCGAGGAGGAAAGGGGUGCUGCUAAUAUCAGCGCCCUGUGACGUUACUCGCAGAAGAAGCACCGGCUAACUCCGUGCCAGCAGCCGCGGUAAU